rnacentral:lncRNA from 1 species
CAGCAGCACUCCCAGACUCAAAAAUCUCUCUCCUUCCUCCUCUCUUUCAUCUCCCUAGAUCGAGAUCCAGAUCCGGUUCUUGGGAGCCCAGCCUCUGGUAUUGCUCCUGUUUCGGCGUCUACUUGGCUGCAACAUGCCCCGGUCACCCUCUCCGCCAACCCCUUGUGCUCCACUUCCACGUGAAGCUCACCGUCAAGCACCUUCUUUGGCUGCUUGGCCUCGCCGUGGCCGCUCCAGCGCCCGCUCAUCCUCCGCUGUUGCCAGGCUGCCGCUUGCCGGGUGGGCGUGUGCCCCUCCUAGGGGCAUGUGCGCUCCCCACAGCCACCUAUCCCUGCUGGCUAAGGGGCAAUGGUGAAUCCCUACUUCCUCAGCUGCCCUCCCUUCCCUUCUUGAUCAAUUAUGCGAAUCUUUGGUCGCGGUCGUGCUAUGGUCUUCUGGGGAGCGCUGGUGGCAUCUCAGGUGUUGUGGUCGGGCGGGUGGAGGGCCGGUGGCCGCCUCUGGCUGCUAGCGAUGCGGGGGCGUGCAGUGGUAACAUGCUAGCUACGGAUCUUGGUUGCCGGCGUGGCUGCAACCUAUCUUGCGCGGCCCGUGCUGCUCCUCCCUUGCAGUCUUGGAACGGUUUGGUUGAUUCCGGUGGCCGCACGAAUGCUGAUUGGAUGUCAGGGUCGUGCAAUGAGAGUGCUGCCCUCAGCGCGCGGGGGAGGGGGGUUGCCAUGCACCUUCGCACGGCCCCGACGAGGCCCUAGCUACUUUGCUAAUCUCUCUGGCUGCAUUGUUGGAUGCUGUGUAGCAAAAGCACCACGCUCGGCGCACAGGGAGGUGCUCCACCUCCGCACAGCCCAACCAGGGUCUUUGCUACCUCCUUCUCCCAGCGUGCGUUGACGGUCUCUGUAUGUUGCGGCAUCUUGAGCAGCCAGUCUUAGCUUAUUGCGGGUGGUUGCGACCAAGCUCAGAUGUUGGGCACUAAUUGGCACUUUGGUUUUGUGGAAAUGGCUUUGUUCAGGUGAGGGUUCAUCCCUCCCUAUUGCCCACCCCUGUUGUCACAAGUCGGGCUACUCUUAGUGCUUGACGUCUGUUUGCAAAUUGGACGUUGUCGUGUGCAGGAUUGUAUAGCAGUGGUACCCCAACUCUCAGCUGCUUGACUACUACCGGUGUAAUUUCUCUAAUGUACUUUAGUAUUGGGUGUGUGUGCUGCGAUUGUAAUCCUUCGUGGAUCCCUUCGUUUUCUAUUUCUAUGUAUCCUGAUCACCACCUCUUUGGGGUGGCUGCCUGAUCUCGUAGUAUCUCCUUUGAUGGAAUAAAAAUGUUCAGGUGCGCACUUACUUGCCCCCCCCCCCCCCCCCCCCCCCCCUCGAUUCCUUUAAAAAAAAAGCAUGAUUUACAAAAUGUAUACACUACUUACAAGAACCGUGGUUGCACUAGAAUAGGCAAGCCGCGUGUAUUAUAUCAAAUUAAAUUACAGAUACAAAUCAUUUCAUCUUUGAAGUCUCAUUCUGUUGUCAAUGAUCGACAUUUCUGAAAUGACUAAACAAAAUUAUCCUAGAUCACUAAUAGCCGUCAGGGAUUAUAUAAAAAGAUAUCUGACGAUAAACAGCUGGGCAUGUUAAUUCGCUUGGCAAUUGUUGCACAAUACGAAAAGCAAACUGGAUUUAAAACUCCCUCCCGUCAACUCCAUUCUUCCGUCACCCAAAAUCUUCACUGAUUACA